rnacentral:rRNA from 1 species
AGAACGAACGCUGGCGGCAUGCCUAAUACAUGCAAGUCGAACGAACUCUUCGGAGUUAGUGGCGCACGGGUGCGUAACGCGUGGGAAUCUGCCCUUGGGUUCGGAAUAACAGUUGGAAACGACCGCUAAUACCGGAUGAUGACGAAAGUCCAAAGAUUUAUCGCCCAGGGAUGAGCCCGCGUAGGAUUAGCUAGUUGGUGAGGUAAAGGCUCACCAAGGCGACGAUCCUUAGCUGGUCUGAGAGGAUGAUCAGCCACACUGGGACUGAGACACGGCCCAGACUCCUACGGGAGCAGC